UAACUGUUAAACACUGUAUUAGAGGUU
rnacentral:piRNA from 1 species